rnacentral:lncRNA from 1 species
GCGCGCGACCACUUACGCGUGGGUCCUGGUCGUCAGGUCUAUCCUCUCCCUUGCAUCGUAACAGCUCGAGCGCAGAACUCGGCUGGAACUUCGGACGACUCAGCUCGGAAUCCUCUCGUGGCAGUGUAUAAAUCCAACACGCAACCGUGGAUCUCGCCAAAUCGCCAGGAUCACGACGCCCUGCGCGCACCCCUGCCUACACACACCUGCCGCCGCCUUCCCAGCGCGCGGAGCCGCUCCGCGCCGUCGAUCCUCCAUGGUCAAGGCAUCGGGCGAAACCAGGAAAUAUCGCGGGGCGCGGUGGAGCGUCCCAUGAUGACUGCUCGCGCGGGGGGGUCCAAUGCUGGCGGAAGUGUUGCCGUAGAGCUUCGGCGCCUCGGAACUUCUCGCCAUCGGUGAUGGUCCACCGUGGACCGCAUCCCUCCGCAUCUAUGCUCGACUCCACGCAGGUAUCUGUAUGAACCCAUUCCCCGUGCUCGCCUUGUGGUCCGCGUAGCAUAGCUUAGGUUUUCGGUUGGUAAUAACCGUCGGUUCGCCGGACCCAGGGCGCCGGCCAUGGGCGCCACCAUGGGCUGGCAUGUCACCGUGGCCGUCUGCCGUAAGGUACCUUCUACCUGAUCACCUCGUCCUCGAUUUCGUUUUGCGCACGAAGUUAACCUCAUCCAGUAGUCGGAGCAGUGGAAUUCGGGUGGCCGGCGAAGGGCUCCGCCGUGCGGAGGUGUCCCUGCGCGGCUCCGACUGGGAGGUUGAUGACGCUGGGGCGUCCGUAGAUUAGAAAAUGAACGGCCCGGAUCGAAUCUGUGGCUCGGUUUAGCUAGGGCUGCGCUCGACCGUGGGAUUCAAAUCAUGCGCACGCGAGUAGUUUGGAGCAUUUAAAAAUCGUGCCCGCAAAUCUGGCAUCCGACGGCUGAGUUUGGGUACCGGUUCGCGGGGGCUACGAUGUAAUCCGAGCGCUCGGCUUUUAAUUCAACGGCCGAUAUUAAGCGAUACCCCUUCGGCUCUGGCUUUUUGCGUAAGAAACCCUGGGGUUAAAAGAAUUCAACCCGCCGUCCUUACCAGGGGCGCUCAGAGUCUUGAGAUAACUUACAUGUUGGCCCCUGCGCUUACCAGAAAUUGACGCCCACUCCAGGGAAUUAUAAAACCAGAGAAAAUAAACCAGAAAUGUAUUUUUAGUAUAAAUAAUUGCAGAAACUUGUUUAAACCCUAGAAAAUUCAUAUGAACUCCAAAUUGAUCCAUUCCAAUUCCUAUAAUUUUGUAAUAAUGUUGUUUAUCACCCUGUGUCUCUGAUUUAACAUGAAAAUGGUAUUAAAAAUUUAUCUCUUAAUUAAUCUCGUACCAAAUACAUAAACCUUGGAAAAUUCAUAACUCUUCCGUUUUAACCCCGAUUUGAUCCGUUCAAGUUGCGUUGGUCUCGUAGAAACGCGUAGAUUAUUAUUACGCAAUUUAUUCUUAUGAUUGGUGUGAUGUUAAUCUUGCGUAUACCAUGUUUGUUUGUAUUGCUACGACUAGCGUGAGGACACGUGUCAUCUGAAGAGCAAGUUGGUACCUGGAAUCUCAAGCCCUAGGCAAGUUGUGCCCUUGAUCACUUCUUUUACCCACUCAUGUUCUAAUUAAUCAUAAUGAUCUGCAUAGGUUAAUUUUGAUGGGACCCAAUAGGUUACCCUAGUUUGAUUAUCUUUAUACCUUGUUUACCACUGAACUUUUUGGGUAGUACUUGCUAGUGCUUUUAUGUGGUUUUGGGUAUGAGGAUACAUUAUUCAUGAUCACACUGUUAUUAUCUGUUUAUUAUUACUGUUCAUGAUAAGAUCAUUAUGUUAAUUGGAACAUGGAGAACCACCCGGGAAAACAGUGCUACCACAAGGGUUUAAUGGGACGCCCUUGGCCGAUUAAUUAGGAAAGCUAGUGGAAGACUACCUUACCUGAAAGGGGCAAGGGCAGUAGGGGAGUGGUCAGUGUAGGGAGGCCCUCGGGAGGAUUUUGCUGUGAUGGCGGUCCUGCAAGGGAUUCCUGGGGAGGCCCUCGGGAGGAUUUUGCUGUGAUGGCGGUCCUGCAAGGGAUUCCUGGGGAGGCCCUCGGGAGGAUUUUGCUGUGAUGGCGGUCCUGCAAGGGAUUCCUGCAUUGGAGCUUCCUAUAAACUGUAGCGGGUUUUCUGAAGCUAGUGGAACUUUGUAAAGGCCUCGUAGUGUUACCCUGCCUCGCCUCCUCGGUAGAGGUGUAUGGAAAGUCGCGAUCCCUUGGCAGAUGGGUAACAUGACUUGUGGGUAAAGAUGCGCAACCUCUGCAGAGUGUAAAACUGGUAUACUAGCCGUGCUCACGGUCAUGAGCGGCUCGGACACUCACAUGAUUAAUUUAUGGAACUUAAAUUCAAUUUGUCAUAUGCAUUGCAUCGCAGGUGAUGUUGUUACUUCUGUUCUACUACUUAAUUGGGUUGGUAUUUACUUAUACUUAGUAAUUGCUAAUAAAAUUUUGACCAACUUUAAAAGCAAUGCUCAGCUUCAACCAUCUCCGUUGGUAAGCCUUACACUUCACGUGAGCUCCCACCUUUGGCGAGUUCAUUCACAUUAUUCCCCACAACUUGUUGAGCAAUGAACGUAUGUGAGCUCACUCUUGCUGUCUCACACCCCCCCACAGGUCAAGAACAGGUACCGCAUGUUGAGGCGCUUGGAGGAUGCUGCGAUGUGUUCGUGAGUGGUCUAGGCCGUCGUCUCCCAGUCAACUUUGGGUUGCUGGACCGUUGUCUCCCUAUAAUGUAAUUAUUUAUUUUGUAUAGAACUCCUGUUAUAUAUAAAGAUGUGACAUUCGAUCCUGUGCCACUAUACAUCAUAUGUGUGAGACUUGGUCCCAGCACACCUGGUGUUUAUGUUAGCGCCCGGGUUUUGGACCCCUAAAACCCGGGUGUUACAGUUGGCGCGGUGUAGGAGUGUAGCAGUGAUGGUCGAUCCAUUGGGUCGAUGACACUCCCAAAAAUAUGAUUGAUCGUCCCUCACUCGAGCAGAUAAACGCUUGAAUGAUAGUCGUUUCGGAGGCCUACUCUUGCGAGGCCCGUGAGGGUAGAACCUAGCAGUGGAGAUAUUGAGAAACUAGCACCAAAACCACAUAGGGAGAAGAGAGAGACCUCCGCUUAAAGUACCUGAGAUUGAGCUGGUGUAUGUUCAUAUGCUCUGAGCAAAGGGUGUCUGCUCAUUUCAUAUGUGCAUGAGGUGCAAGAUUCAUUGGACGUUCAGGAAGGCUCUGAUGAACAUCACUCCAGCGGUUAUCAAUCCUACAGUUACAAGUAACAUCUGUUUUGAUGGUCAUCAUUUCGAUCACAUUGUUCUAUCUAUCUAUAUGUCUAUCUUGACUCGACAUGAUGCAACACAUCCACACCCAUGGCCUGGUGAAUGAGACGGGCACAUGUGCGUGUGAUAGUUGCCUAGAGGGGGGGUGAAUAGGGCGAAACUGAAAUUUACAAAUAUAAACACAACUACAAGCCGGGUUAGCGUUAGUAAUGAAGAAACGAGUCCGUGAGAGAGGGCGCCAAAACAAAUCCCAAGCGAAUAAGCAAGUGAGACACGGAGAUUUGUUUUACCGAGGUUCGGUUCUUGCAAACCUACUCCCCGUUGAGGAGGCCACAAAGGCCGGGUCUCUUUCAACCCUUCUCUCUCUCAAACGAUCCACGGAUCGAGUGAGCUUUCUCUUCUCAAUCACUUGGAACACAAAGUUUCCGCAAGGACCACCACAAGAUUGGUGUCUCUUGCCUCAAUUACAAGUGAGUUUGAUUGCAAAGAAAGGAUCAAGAAAGAAGAAAGCAAUCCAAGCGCAAGAGCUCGAAAGAACACAAGCAAAACACUCUCUCUAGUCACUAUGGCGUCGUGUGGAAUUUGGAGAGGAUUUGAUCUCUUUGGUGUGUCUAGAAUUGAAUGCUAGAGCUCUUGUAGUAGUUGAGAAGUGGAAAACUUGGAUGCAAUGAAUGGUGGGGUGGUUGGGGUAUUUAUAGCCCCAACCACCAAAAGUGGCCGUUGGGAGGCUGUCUGCACGAUGGCACACCGGACAGUCCGGUGCACACCGGACAGUCCGGUGCCCCCUGCCACGUCAUCACUGUCGUUGGAUUCUGACCGUUGGAGCUUCUGACUUGUGGGCCCGCCUGGGUGUCCGGUGCACACCGGACAACUCCUGUUCAUUGUCCGGUGCGCCGGAAUGGGCGCGCCUGACUUCUGCGCGCGCAGAGCGCGCAUUAAAUGCGCGGCAGAGAGCCGUUGGCGCGGAGAUAGUCGUUGCUCCGGAGUCGCACCGGACAGUCCGGUGCAUACCGGACAGUCCGGUGAAUUAUAGCGGACUAGCCGUUGCAGUUUCCCGAAGCUGGCGAGUUCCUGAGGCCGCUCCUCCUUGGCGCACCGGACAUUGUCCGGUGUACACCGGACAGUCCGGUGAAUUAUAGCGCGAGUGCCUCUGGAAAUUCCCGAAGGUGACGAGUUCGAGUUGGAGUCCUCUGGUGCACCGGACAUGUCCGGUGGCACACCGGACAGUCCGGUGCGCCAGACCAGAGGUGCCUUCGGUUGGCCCUUCGCUCCUUUGUUGAAUCCAAAACUUGGUCUUUUUAUUGGCUGAGUGUGAACCUUUUACACCUGUAUAAUCUAUACACUUGGGCAAACUAGUUAGUCCAAUUAUUUGUGUUGGGCAAUUCAACCACCAAAAUUAAUUAGGGACUAGGUGUAAGCCUAAUUCCCUUUCAAUCUCCCCCUUUUUGGUGAUUGAUGCCAACACAAACCAAAGCAAAUAUGGAAGUGCAUAAUUGAACUAGUUUGCAUAAUGUAAGUGCAAAGGUUGCUUGGAAUUGAGCCAAUAUAAAUACUUACAAGAUAUGCAUGGAAUGUUUCUUUCUUAUAUAACAUUUUGGACCACGCUUGCACCACAUGUUUUGUUUUUGCAAACUCUUUUGUAAAUUCUUUUCAAAGUUCUUUUGCAAAUAGUCAAAGGUAAAUGAAUAAGAUUUUGCAAAGCAUUUUCAAGGUUUGAAAUUUUCUCCCCCUGUUUCAAAUGCUUUUCCUUUGACUAAACAAAACUCCCCCUAAAUGAGAUUCACCUCUUAGUGUUCAAGAGGGUUUUGAUAUAUACUUUUGAAAUACUAUUCAAUACUUGAGUUUUUGAAUUUGGUGGUGGUGCGGUCCUUUUGCUUUGGGCUCAUUUCUCCCCCUUUUUGGCAUGAAUCGCCAAAAACGGAAUCAUUAGAGCCCUCGAAGUGCCAUCUUCCCCUUUGGUCAUAAAUAAAUGAGUUAAGAUUAUACCAAAGAUGAAGUCCGGUUUUUUUUGCUUUGGGCUCUUAUUUUCUCCCCCAAAGACAAAGUCCUUUUGCUUUGAAUUCUCCCCCUAAAGAUGGAGAGAAGCGCGGAGUGACGGCGAAGGAUGAGUUACGGAGUGGAAGCCUUUGUCUUCGCCGAAGACUCCAAUUUCCUUUCAAUAUACCUAUGACUUGGUUUGAGAUAGACUUGAAAACCCAUUAGUCAUAGCAUAUAAAAGAGAUAUGAUCAAAGGUAUAUAGAUGAGCUAUGUGUGCAAUCUAGCAAAAGAAAUUGCGUGAAUCAAGAAUAUUUAGCUCAUGCCUAAGUUUGUUAAAAGAUUGUUCAUCAAGAGGCUUGGUAAAGAUAUCGGCUAAUUGAUCUUUAGUGUUAAUGUAAGAAAUCUCGAUAUCUCCCUUUUGUUGGUGAUCCCUAAGAAAGUGAUACCGAAUGGCUAUGUGUUUAGUGCGGCUAUGCUCGACGGGAUUGUCGGCCAUUUUGAUUGCACUCUCAUUAUCACAUAGCAAAGGGACUUUGGUUAAUUUGUAACCGUAGUCCCGCAGGGUUUGCCUCAUCCAAAGCAAUUGCGCGCAACAAUGGCCUGCGGCAAUAUACUCGGCUUCGGCGGUAGAAAGAGCGACCGAAUUUUGCUUCUUUGAAGCCCAAGACACCAAGGAUCUUCCCAAGAACUGGCAAGUCCCCGAUGUGCUCUUCCUAUUGAUUUUACACCCCGCCCAAUCGGCAUCCGAAUAACCAAUCAAAUCAAAUGUGGAUCCCCGAGGGUACCAAAGCCCAAACUUAGGAGUAUAAGCUAAAUAUCUCAAGAUUCGUUUUACGGCCGUAAGGUGAGCUUCCUUAGGGUCGGCUUGGAAUCUUGCACACAUGCAUACGGAAAGCAUAAUGUCCGGUCGAGAUGCACAUAAAUAAAGUAAUGAACCUAUCAUCGACCGGUAUACCUUUUGAUCCACGGACUUACCUCCCGUGUCGAGGUCGAGAUGCCCAUUAGUUCCCAUGGGUGUCUUGAUGGGUUUGGCAUCCUUCAUCCCGAACUUGCUUAGAAUAUCUUGAGUGUACUUCGUUUGGCUAAUGAAGGUGCCCUCUUGGAGUUGCUUGACUUGGAAUCCUAGGAAAUACUUCAACUCCCCCAUCAUAGACAUCUCGAAUUUUUGUGUCAUAAUCCUACUAAACUCUUCACAUGUAGACUCGUUAGUAGACCCAAAUAUGAUAUCAUCAACAUAAAUUUGGCAUACAAACAAGUCAUUUUCAAGGGUUUUAGUAAAGAGUGUAGGAUCGGCUUUUCCGACUUUGAAUCCAUUUGCAAUAAGAAAAUCUCUAAGGCAUUCAUACCAUGCUCUUGGGGCUUGCUUGAGCCCAUAAAGCGCCUUAGAGAGCUUAUAGACAUGAUUAGGAUACUCAUUGUCUUCAAAGCCGGGAGGUUGCUCAACAUAGACCUCUUCCUUGAUUGGUCCAUUGAGGAAGGCACUUUUCACGUCCAUUUGAUAAAGCUUAAAGCCAUGGUAAGUAGCAUAGGCCAAUAAUAUGCGAAUUGACUCAAGCCUAGCUACGGGUGCAUAGGUUUCACCGAAAUCCAAACCUUCGACUUGGGAGUAUCCUUUGGCCACAAGUCGAGCUUUGUUCCUUGUCACCACACCAUGCUCGUCUUGCUUGUUGCGGAAGACCCAUUUGGUUCCUACAACAUUUUGAUUAGGACGUGGAACUAAAUGCCAUACCUCAUUUCUAGUGAAGUUGUUGAGCUCCUCUUGCAUCGCCACCACCCAAUCCGAAUCUUGGAGUGCUUCCUCUACCCUGUGUGGCUCAAUAGAGGAAACAAACGAGUAAUGUUCACAAAAAUGUGCAACACGAGAUCGAGUAGUUACCCCCUUAUGAAUGUCGCCGAGGAUGGUGUCGACGGGGUGAUCUCGUUGGAUUGCUUGGUGGACUCUUGGGUGUGGCGGUCUUUGUUCCUCAUCCUCCUUGUCUUCCUCAUUUACAUCUCCCCCUUGAUCAAUGCCAUCAUCUUGAGGUGGCUCAUUUGCUUGAUCUUCUACUUCAUCAACUUGAGCUUCAUCCUCAUUUUGAGUCGGUGGAGAUGCUUGCAUUGAGGAGGAUGGUUGAUCUUGUGCAUUUGGAGGCUCUUCGGAUUCCUUAGGACACACAUCCCCAAUGGACAUGUUUCUUAGCGCGAUGCAUGGAGCCUCUUCUUCACCUAUCUCAUCAAGAUCAACUUGCUCUACUUGAGAGCCGUUAGUCUCAUCAAACACAACGUCACAUGAGACUUCAACUAGUCCAGUGGACUUGUUAAAGACCCUAUAUGCCCUUGUGUUUGAGUCAUAACCAAGUAAAAAGCCUUCUACAGUCUUAGGAGCAAAUUUGGAUUUUCUACCUCUUUUAACAAGUAUAAAGCAUUUGCUACCAAAGACUCUAAAAUAUGAAAUAUUGGGAUUUUUACCGGUUAGGAGUUCAUAUGAUGUCUUCUUGAGGAUUCGGUGUAGAUAUAACCGGUUGAUGGCGUAGCAAGCGGUGUUGACCGCCUCAGCCCAAAACCGAUCCGAAGUCUUGUACUCAUCAAGCAUGGUUCUCCCCAUGUCCAAUAGAGUUCUAUUCUUCCUCUCCACUACACCAUUUUGUUGUGGAGUGUAGGGAGAAGAGAACUCAUGCUUGAUGCCCUCCUCCUCAAGAAAGCCUUCAAUUUGAGAGUUCUUAAACUCUGUUCCGUUGUCGCUUCUUAUUUUCUUGAUCCUUAAGCUGAACUCAUUUUGAGCCCGUCUCAAGAAUCCCUUUAAGGUUUCUUGGGUUUGAGAUUUUUCUUGCAAAAAGAAUACCCAAGUGAAGCGAGAAUAAUCAUCCACAAUAACUAGACAGUACUUACUCCCGCCGAUGCUUAUGUAAGCAAUCGGGCCGAAUAGAUCCAUGUGUUGGAGCUCCAGUGGCCUGUCGGUCGUCAUUAUGUUCUUAUGUGGAUGAUGAGUGCCAACUUGCUUUCCUGCCUGGCAUGCGCUACAAAUCCUGUCUUUCUCAAAAUGAACAUUGGUUAGUCCUAAAAUGUGUUCUCCCUUUAGAAGCUUGUGAAGAUUCUUCAUCCCAACAUGGGCUAGUCGGCGGUGCCAGAGCCAACCCAUGUUAGUCUUAGCAAUUAAGCAAGUGUCGAGUUCAACUCUAUCAAAAUCUACCAAGUAUAGCUGACCCUCUAACACUCCCUUAAAUGCUAUUGAAUCAUCGCUUCUUCUAAAGACAGUGACACCUAUAUCAGUGAAUAGACAGUUGUAGCCCAUUUGACAUAAUUGAGAUACGGAAAGUAAGUUGUAAUCCAAAGAAUCAACAAGAAAAACAUUGGAAAUAGAAUGGUCAGGAGAUAUAGCAAUUUUACCCAAACCUUUGACCAAACCUUGAUUUCCAUCCCCGAAUGUAAUUGCUCUUUGGGGAUCUUGGUUUUUCUCAUAUGAGGAGAACAUCUUUUUCUCCCCAGUCAUGUGGUUUGUGCACCCGCUGUCGAGUAUCCAACUUGAGCCCCCGGAUGCAUAAACCUACAACACAAGUUUAGUUCUUGACUUUAGGUACCCAAAUGGUUUUGGGUCCUUUGGCAUUAGACACAAGAACUUUGGGUACCCAAACACAAGUCUUUGAACCCUUAUGCUUGCCCCCAACAUAUUUGGCAACUACCUUGCCGGAUUUGUUAGUCAAAACAUAAGAUGCAUCAAAAGUUUUAAAUGAAAUGUUAUGAUCAUUUGACGCACUAGGAGUUUUCUUUCUAGGCAACUUAGCAUGGGUUGGUUGCCUAGAGCUAGAUGUCUCACCCUUAUACAUAAAUGCAUGAUUAGGGCCAGAGUGAGACUUCCUAGAAUGAAUUCUCCUAAUUUUGCUCUCAGGAUAACCGGCAGGGUAUAAAAUGUAACCCUCGUUAUCCUGAGGCAUGGGAGCCUUGCCCUUAACAAAGUUGGACAAUCUUUUAGGAGGGGCACUAAUUUUGACAUUGUCUCCCCUUUGGAAGCCAAUGCCAUCCUUGAUGCCCGGGCGUCUCUCAUUAUAAAGCAUGCUACGAGCAAAUUUAAAUUUCUCAUUUUCUAAGUUGUGCUCGGCAAUUUUAGCAUCUAGUUUUGCUAUAUGAUCAUUUUGUUGUUUAAUUAAAGCUAUAUGAUCAUGAAUAGCAUUAACAUCAACAUCUCUACAUCUAGUACAAAUAGAUACAUGCUCAACAAUAGAUGUAGGGGUUUUGCAAGAUUUUAGUUCUACAACCUUAGCAUGCAAUAUUUCAUUUUUACUUCUAAGGUCGGAAAUAGUAGCAUUGCAAACAUCAAAAUCUUUAGCCUUAGCAAUUAAAUUUUCAUUUUCUACUCUUAGGCUAGCAAGAGAAAUGUUUAAUUCUUCAAUCCUAGCAAGCAAAUCAUCAUUAUUAUCUCUAGGGUUGGGAAUUGAAACAUUACAAACAUGUGAAUUAACCUUAGCAUUUAAACUAUCAUUUUCAUGUCUAAGGUUGUCAAUCAUCUCAUGGCAAGUGCUUAGCUCACUAGAUAACUUUUCACAUUUCUCAAUUUCAAGAGCAUAAGCCUUUUUAACCUUAACAUGCUUCUUAUUUUCCUUAAUAAGGAGGUCCUCUUGGGAAUCCAAGAGGUCAUCCUUUCCAUGAAUAGCACUAACCAAUUCAUUUAAUUUCUCCUUUUGAGCUAUGUUAAGGUUGGCAAAAAGGGAACGCAAAUUAUCCUCCUCAUCACUAGCAUUAUCAUCACUAGAAGACUCAUAUUUAGUGGAGGAGUUAGAUUUAACCUUCUUCCGCUUGCUGUCCUUUGCCAUGAGGCACUUGUGGCCGACGUUGGGGAAGAGAAGUCCCUUGGUGACGGCGAUGUUGGCGGCGUCCUCGUCGUCGGAGGAGUCGCUUGAGCUUUCGUCGGAAUCCCACUCCCGACAAACAUGGGCAUCGCCGCCCUUCUUCUUGUAGUACCUCUUUUUUUCCUUUCUUCUCCCCUUCUUGUCGUCGCCUCGGUCACUGUCACUAGAUAUAGGACAUUUAGCAAUAAAAUGACCAGGCUUACCACACUUGUAGCAAACCUUUUUGGAGCGGGACUUGUAGUCUUUCCCCCUCCUUUGCUUGAGGAUUUGGCGGAAGCUCUUGAUGACGAGCGCCAUUUCCUCAUUGUCGAGCUUGGAGGCGUCUAUUGGUUGUCGACUUGGUGUAGCCUCCUCCUUCUUGUCCUCCGUCGCCUUGAAUGCGACGGGUUGAGCCUCGGAUGUAGAUGGAUCAUCAAGCUCGUUGAUCUUCCUCGAGCCUUCGAUCAUGCACUCAAAACUUACAAAAUGCCCGAUAACUUCCUCGGGGGUCAUUUUAGUAUAUCUAGGAUUACCACGAAUUAAUUGAACUUGAGUAGGGUUAAGGAAAAUAAGAGAUCUUAGAAUAACCUUAACCAUUUCAUGGUCAUCCCAUUUUACGCUCCCGAGGUUGCGCACUUGGUUCACCAAGGUCUUGAGCCGGUUGUACAUGUGUUGUGGCUCCUCCCCUUUGCGAAGCCGGAAUCGACCGAGCUCCCCCUCGAUCGUUUCCCGCUUGGUGAUCUUGGUGAGCUCGUCUCCCUCGUGCGCGGUUUUGAGCACAUCCCAAACCUCUUUGGCGCUCUUCAACCCUUGAACUUUGUUAUACUCCUCUCUACUUAAAGAGGCGAGGAGUAUUGUUGUCGCUUGAGAGUUGAAGUGCUCGAUUUGGGCUACCUCAUCCUCAUCAUAAUCCUUGUCCCCUACCGACGGUACCUGUGCACCAAACUCAACAACAUCCCAUAUACUUUUGUGGAGUGAGGUUAGAUGAAAUUGCAUUAAAUCACUCCACCUAGCAUAAUCUUCACCAUCAAAAGUUGGUGGUUUCCCUAAUGGGACGGAAAGUAAAGGUGCAUGUUUAGAAAUGCGAGGGUAGUGUAGGGGGAUCUUACUAAACUUCUUACGCUCUUGGCGUUUAGAAGUUACGGAGGGCGCGUCGGAGCCGGAGGUCGAUGUUGAUGAAGUGUCGGUCUCGUAGUAGACCACUUUCCUCAUCCUCUUUUGCUUGUCCCCACUCCGAUGCGGCUUGUGGGAAGAAGAUUUUUCCUUCUUCUCUUUGUGGUGAGAAGAAGAUUUCUUCUCCUUCCCUUUGUUGGAGGAGAUCUUCUUAUUCUCCCUCCUCUUGGUGCGGGACUCUUCCGAUGAAGUGCUCCCUUGGCUUGUAGUGGGCUUUUCGUCGGUCUCCAUCUCCUUCUUGGCGUGAUCUCCCGACAUCACUUCGAGCGGUUAGGCUCUAAUGAAGCACCGGGCUCUGAUACCAAUUGAUAGUUGCCUAGAGGGGGGGUGAAUAGGGCGAAACUGAAAUUUACAAAUAUAAACACAACUACAAGCCGGGUUAGCGUUAGUAAUGAUGAAACGAGUCCGUGAGAGAGGGCGCCAAAACAAAUCCCAAGCGAAUAAGCAAGUGAGACACGGAGAUUUGUUUUACCGAGGUUCGGUUCUUGCAAACCUACUCCCCGUUGAGGAGGCCACAAAGGCCGGGUCUCUUUCAACCCUUCCCUCUCUCAAACGAUCCACGGAUCGAGUGAGCUUUCUCUUCUCAAUCACUUGGAACACAAAGUUUCCGCAAGGACCACCACAAGAUUGGUGUCUCUUGCCUCAAUUACAAGUGAGUUUGAUUGCAAAGAAAGGAUCAAGAAAGAAGAAAGCAAUCCAAGCGCAAGAGCUCGAAAGAACACAAGCAAAACACUCUCUCUAGUCACUAUGGCGUCGUGUGGAAUUUGGAGAGGAUUUGAUCUCUUUGGUGUGUCUAGAAUUGAAUGCUAGAGCUCUUGUAGUAGUUGAGAAGUGGAAAACUUGGAUGCAAUGAAUGGUGGGGUGGUUGGGUAUUUAUAGCCCCAACCACCAAAAGUGGCCGUUGGGAGGCUGUCUGCACGAUGGCACACCGGACAGUCCGGUGCACACCGGACAGUCCGGUGCCCCCUGCCACGUCAUCACUGCCGUUGGAUUCUGACCGUUGGAGCUUCUGACUUGUGGGCCCGCCUGGGUGUCCGGUGCACACCGGACAACUCCUGUUCAUUGUCCGGUGCGCCGGAAUGGGCGCCAGGGCGCGCCUGACUUCUGCGCGCGCAGAGCGCGCAUUAAAUGCGCGGCAGAGAGUCGUUGGCGCGGAGAUAGCCGUUGCUCCGGAGUCGCACCGGACAGUCCGGUGCACACCGGACAGUCCGGUGAAUUAUAGCGGACUAGCCGUUGCAGUUUCCCGAAGCUGGCGAGUUCCUGAGGCCGCUCCUCCUUGGCGCACCGGACACUGUCCGGUGUACACCGGACAGUCCGGUGAAUUAUAGCGCGAGUGCCUCUGGAAAUUCCCGAAGGUGGCGAGUUCGAGUUGGAGUCCUCUGGUGCACCGGACAUGUCCGGUGGUGCACCGGACACUGUCCGGUGGCACACCGGACAGUCCGGUGCGCCAGACCAGAGGUGCCUUCGGUUGGCCCUUUGCUCCUUUGUUGAAUCCAAAACUUGGUCUUUUUAUUGGCUGAGUGUGAACCUUUUACACCUGUAUAAUCUAUACACUUGGGCAAACUAGUUAGUCCAAUUAUUUGUGUUGGGCAAUUCAACCACCAAAAUUAAUUAGGGACUAGGUGUAAUCCUAAUUCCCUUUCAGCGUGCAUGGCAUGACAGUCUCCUUUUCCCAACUUCACAUAUGAUGUACACCAAGUUAACCUUUUAAGUUGGUUAAAGUUUUCUUCCACUAUCAAUAUAAGAUUAAAAAUUUUAUCUUCCUAACAUUUAUUAUGGGUCAUGAAAUAUUAAAAGAACUAAAUGAGCCUUAUCUAUUAUUUAAACCCCCUAACAUUUAUUACGGAUCAUGAAAUAUUAAAAGAAUAAAAUGAGCAUGAUCUAUUAACCCCGACAUGCACCCUCCCACUCCUAAAACAUAAAAUAAAAGACUUCAGAGAAGAGAGAAGUAAUUUUCUAAGGCCGGUUCUAGUGAGAGUUUUUUUUGUAUUCAAUAAGGUGUCACAUAAACGUUUUUUAUGAUGUGGCAAUUUUUUUAAUAAGACAUAAGUGAAUUUCACGAGGACAAAACUCUUUUGGCACGAUUACUAACUCUCUACAUAUCAUAAAAUUAGACAUCUAUAAAAAAUAAAACUUUCUAAUAAAAAUAAAUAUUUUAUCUAGAUUUUAUUUUUUAUAUGACAUCUCAAUCUCGAAAAACGUUAUAAAACUCGUUGUUGAUACUAUCAAAACUUGAGGAGAGAAAGUAGUGUUAUUCGCUGAUAGUAGAAAGUCUAUCUAUGUAAGGACCUAUUUGGGAAUAUAGUAUUUUUAGUUCCAAGAUGAUACUGUGGUAUUUCAACAUACCAUAAUAUUUUAGACCAAAACAUGUUUGGUAGUACAUUUAGAAAUAUUGUACAUCUAAAAUAUUUUGGUCUGAAUCAAAGUUUUUCAUUGGCGUAUGGAAAGCGACGGCUACGGUCUUGCCCUUUCUUCUCUCCUACGUUGCAACCAAAAUAUUGUAUCUUUAAACAGAUAUUGGAUUAAACUAAUAUAAAAUAUAUCAUAAUUGUAUCAUGUCGCUUUGUAAAGUAUGGUAAUAUAAAUUGUAGUUUAACGGUUUGUGUGGGAGGGCUUCAAUGCUUCACUUUAAGAAUUUCAGCUUCGUUUUUUCAGGUUUACUAUAAAAUAACUCCAACAAAUUAUUGAUGUGGGUUCGAGAAGUGUUUAGCUUGCACAUAAACUCCAUCUUUUGUAAUACAAUUUAUUUUUGUGAGUUUUUUUAUUACCCUUGAUAAUUAGUGGUUGUCACGAGAUAACCGAAGCACUAUGUUAUGUAACUAGUGACGUGAUGGUCAUUUCUAUGCAACUUUAUGAUGUAUGAAAACAAUGUUUGUGAAGCACAUUUUGAAGGGCUUCAUUAUUUUCAUGAAGAUGACCUAUAGUUUCAUUUUGUUUUCAAAGCUAGAGCUUGUGGUGCUAAACCUAUUUGAAUGGAAG